rnacentral:rRNA from 1 species
AUACGUAGGUGGCAAGCGUUGUCCGGAUUUAUUGGGCGUAAAGCGAGCGCAGGCGGUUUCUUAAGUCUGAUGUGAAAGCCCCCGGCUCAACCGGGGAGGGUCAUUGGAAACUGGGAGACUUGAGUGCAGAAGAGGAGAGUGGAAUUCCAUGUGUAGCGGUGAAAUGCGUAGAUAUAUGGAGGAACACCAGUGGCGAAGGCGGCUCUCUGGUCUGUAACUGACGCUGAGGCUCGAAAGCGUGGGGAGCAAACAGGAUUAGAUACCCUGGUAGUCCACGCCGUAAACGAUGAGUGCUAAGUGUUGGAGGGUUUCCGCCCUUCAGUGCUGCAGCUAACGCAUUAAGCACUCCGCC